rnacentral:rRNA from 1 species
AUUGAACGCUGGCGGCAGGCCUAACACAUGCAAGUCGAACGAGUGGCGGACGGGUGAGUAAUGUCUGGGAAACUGCCCGAUGGAGGGGGAUAACUACUGGAAACGGUAGCUAAUACCGCAUACCAUCGGAUGUGCCCAGAUGGGAUUAGCUUGUAGGUGAGGUAACGGCUCACCUAGGCGACGAUCCCUAGCUGGUCUGAGAGGAUGACCAGCAAAACGGGAACUGAGACACGGGCAGGACUCCUACGGGAGGCAGGAGUGGGUAAUAUUGUACAAUGGGCGCAAGCUUGAUGCAGCCAUGCCGCGUUGAUGAAGAAGGCCUUCGGGUUGUAAAGUACUUUCAGCGGGGAGGCGGUACCCGCAGAAGAAGCACCGGCUAACUCCGUGCCAACAGCCGCGGUAAUAC